rnacentral:miRNA from 2 species
UAGAAUUCCAGGUUACGCCAGC